rnacentral:RNase_P_RNA from 1 species
UGAGUUGAGUAGAUGGUCGCGUCCCAUUGGGAUGAGGAAAGUCCGGACUCCACAGGGCAGGAUGCUGGGUAACACCCAGGAGCGGCGACGCUAUGGAAAGUGCAACAGAGAGUAGACUACAACGUUUUUUUAACUAUGGGCCUUCUUAAUCAUUUUUUGACGUUGUCAAAAAAUGGGUUGCGUUAAAAUCAAGUGAUAUGUCCUACAAAUGGUGGGACUGUUGAUUUUAAAGCAGAUCACCUUCAGACGAAGGUGAGGAAGUUGGCGCGUAGGUGAAAGCACGUUGUACAGGUGAAACGGUGCGGUAAAAGCGCACCAGUCCAUAAGGUGACUUAUGGAGCUUGGUAAACCCCGUCUGGAGCAAGGUAAAUGGGGGACAUAUAUAGGCGUGCCCGUCUCGUCCCCAGGUAACCGCUUGAGGUGGAUGGUAACAUCCAUCCCAGAUGAAUGAUCAUCACAUACAGAAUCCGGCUUAUUCUCAACUCAAGUU